rnacentral:rRNA from 1 species
GGGCCCGCACAAGCGGUGGAGUAUGUGGUUUAAUUCGAUGCAACGCGAAGAACCUUACCAGGGUUUGACAUCCUGCGAAUCUCUUGGAAACGAGAGAGUGCCUUCGGGAGCGCAGUGACAGGUGGUGCAUGGCUGUCGUCAGCUCGUGUCGUGAGAUGUUGGGUUAAGUCCCGCAACGAGCGCAACCCACGUCUUUAGUUGCCAGCAUUUAGUUGGGCACUCUAGAGAGACCGCCGGUGAUAAACCGGAGGAAGGUGUGGAUGACGUCAAGUCAUCAUGCCCCUUACAUCCUGGGCUACACACGUACUACAAUGCUACGGACAAAGAGCAGCAAGUUCGCGAGGACAAGCAAAUCUCAUAAACCGUGGCUCAGUUCAGAUCGUAGGCUGCAACUCGCCUGCAUGAAGCCGGAAUCGCUAGUAA